rnacentral:rRNA from 1 species
UACUUAGGGCGCAAGCGUUGUCCGGAUUUAUUGGGCGUAAAGAGCGUGUAGGCGGCCAUACAGGUCAGCUGUGAAAACUCGAGGCUCAACCUCGAGACGCCGGUGGAAACCAUCAGACUAGAGUCCGGAAGAGGAGAGUGGAAUUCCUGGUGUAGCGGUGAAAUGCGCAGAUAUCAGGAAGAACACCCGUGGCGAAGGCGGCUCUCUAGUACGGUACUGACGCUGAGACGCGAAAGCGUGGGGAGCGAACAGG